UGCAAGCGUAGAAACAACAGGAAAGUGGGUUCAGUGGCUGCUACAGGAAGGCAGUGCCCUCCGGGGUGCAGAGGCUUUGUUGGGUGUUGCUGAGAGGAACCACAAGCGGAAAGGAGCUGGCAAAUCCCUCCUCCUUCCUCCAGGCUUGCAACCUUCCUGUAGCACCCCUAACUGGUAGGGCCAGUAUGGGGUUUGCAGGGUCUUAGCUUAGCAUCCCAAAGCCAAGUUGGGAAGCAUGGAUUUGGAACUGAGAGGCAAUGACUGUCAUGGGGAAGCCACCCCUCAACUGCAUGAGGGAUCGUCUACACAGAGCCCCGAAGUCUUCAGAAGAUUCUUUGCAUCCAACCAACAGACAAGGAAAGAAGGACACAUGGAGAAUUCAAGGAGGGAUCAGGGACCACAUUCCACUGGCCAACAUUAGCUGCAUGACCACCUCAGACAAGAGGAACUUGGGAGGUGUAAUCUGGCUGUGUGACCAGGAAGGAGAGAGGACAGUUUGAUAAUUGAAUUAUGAUGUAUAAACUAAUACUUCAGACAAAAUAAUAUCCGAUGUUUAUGGGCACUGUGCAAAGCGCUCCAAAAUAAUGGUACUGUUCGUAUCCCCCUGUUAUGGAUGGAGGACAGACAACUUAGAAGGAUUAGUUCGCUUCAGGUCACAGAGCUGUUCUGGAGGUCAGAAGUCCUAAAAUCAACAUGCUGGCAGAACUUCAUUCCGCUGGAAGCUCUAGGGAAGAAUUCACUUCCACAUUUUCGCUAGCUUGUAGAGGCUGCGUGCAUUCCUCGAUUCGUGGCUCCAUGUUUCCAUCCUCAAAGUACAUUACUCCGACCCCUGCUUCAGUCGUCACGGCUGCUCUGACUGCCCCUCCUGCCUCCCUCUUAUAAGGACUUUGUAAUUACACUGGGCCCACCUGGAUAACCCGAGAUAACCUCCCAUCUGCAAGUCUUUAAUUAUAUCUGCGAAGUCUCUUUUGCCAGGUAAGGUAACAUAUUCCCAGAGUCCAGGGGCUAGGGUGUGGACAUCUUUGGAGGGGCAUUAUUCUGUCUACUACAUUACUUAAACAGAAGCCAUUCUGUGAAUGACGAAAGGGAGAUAGUGCCCACCCCUGUGGGCCACAGUGUGGCAGAUGACAAGUCAUCAGUUCUCCGUUAUGACACGGGGAGGAAAGCUUGCCAACGCCUCAUCUGCUCAGCUUCAUGGGCUUAUGUAGGUUCUCAGCCUCUGCAGUAAAGACACAUUUACCUCCCCGCUCCUCCUCCAGCUUCUGGAAUUCAGGAAGACCAGUGGGUUCUUCCCAAGAUACCAAAAGGGACCAGAAUCACCCUUCUUCUUGGUUCUCUGAUGGUUAAUUUUAUGUGUUUACUUGGCUAGGCCACGGUACCCAGAUAUUUGGCUAAACACCAGCCCAGAUGUUGAGUUAGAGGUAUUUUUUAUGCGAGAUUAGCAUUUAAAUCACUAGGUACUGAGUUCAGCAGAUUACCUUCCAUAAUGGGGGGUGUCCUCAUCUAAUUAGUUGAAGGCCUUCAGAGAAAAUCACUGAGAUCCCCAAGAAAGAGGAAGUUCUGCCUCCACCCUGCCUUCAGGCUCAAGCUGCAGCGUCAACUCUUCCUGGGUCUCCAGCCUGCUGGUCUCCCCUGAAGAUUUCAGACUCUCCAGGCCCCUCAACGGUGCCACCCAGUUCCUUAAAAUUUCUCCUUCUGUCUGCAUAUAUAUAUUUAUAUUCCAUUUCUCUGAUAAAAACCCUAAUACAGGUCCAUAGAUCUCCACAGGCCAAACCCUCUCCAAGAAGACUUCUCCAGUGUCUCCUGUCCCUCUGCACCUCUGAACCCUUGGGGGACGGUCCCGGGCCAACUUCCUCUAAGAGGAAGGUGGCAGCACCCAAGGCCCUCUCCCCACCUCCCACUUUCCCCUGGAGCUGUCUGGAGUCAAGGAGGGCGCAGAACAUAGGGACAUUUAAGGCAACGUUUCCUCCAGAUUUGUGUCAGGGUUCUUCUUAAACAUGAUUUUAAAAUCCAGAAUUUUUCUAGCUUUCCAGAACUGUAUCAUUCUCUAAUUGAGUAAUGCAGCUUAUGUUUUUAUCCAAGACAUUGAUAAAACCAUAAGAUAGCUGAGAACCAAAUAUACCCAUCCUAGAAACUCUCUCUUUAGGAUCCAAUUGCUUUUUCAUUUAAUCCCUCAUUUUCUAAGAUCGUGUUUUUACAGUUAAGUUUACUUUUGUUCUCAUUCUCCUUUGGGGCAGUUGGUGGCUUUUCAAUCAUGGGUCUCAAUUUUAAAGAGAGGGAUGCGUCCCUCCCUUUACUUCUUAGAAAUCGACAUUUUCCUUCCAGGAGAUGAAGGGACGCCUGCCAGGCUCUCUGCCUCUGGACCUGCUCCCUCCCAUAUCCUCAUGAGCUAACACAGGCUCACCAAGCUCAGUAAAUAACUUCAACCUGCCACUCUUAGCUUUGGGGCCAACCCUCUCCUAAGCUGCAGGGAAUUUAAAAAGCCAUGUUGAGUGAAUGUAUUGAGUAUGACCAAUUCGCCAUGUUGCUGGUUUUCUCGACUCUUGGUCCCAGGUCCAGUGACUCAGGUCCUCACUCCUAUCUGCUUCUCAGUGCAGAGUCACUUCACUUCGAAGCUUACUUUUGUAGGCUGAGAAAGGACUGUCGCUUCAGUCAGUCGUGAGGCUGCCUGACAUUACUGCUUGUCUGGAUCAUCACGUAUUACCCAGUCCCUGCUGCCGUGCCUCAGUGGUCUGCACAACACCCAUGCACUACUUCUUUCUACUUCUUUUCUGGACUUCCAAAGUGCUGAACACUGCCCAGUGCAUCGACAGCCACGCUCCUCUCGGCAGGCGGUGCACUGCCUGCACGGGGUCCUGUGAGUGUGUCUGGACUCCAGGUGCAGAGCCCUCCUGGGCUGACCUGUCCCUCUCCUGUGUCCCGAAGCUCCUGUUCUCGUAGAAAGGAUGUGGAAUUCAUAGGCUUUCCAGCAGAGCAGCUCCUCGGACGUGGGGGCCUCGUUUUACGCAUGCUCAAUUACAUUAAAUUCUUAGUUGUUAGGGGGAAAAAUCUGAUUUUCACAUUCUCAUUUCACCUGCAAAAAUAUGUAAUUUCAUCAAACUCCCUCUCACAAAUGGCUUUUAUAUGGCUCAUGAACUACAGAGUUUUGUUCUCUUAUAAAAA